rnacentral:rRNA from 1 species
CACGUAGCUAGCCGUGGCUUUCUGGUUAGGUACCGUCAAGGUACGAGCAGUUACUCUCGUACUUGUUCUUCCCUAACAACAGAGUUUUACGACCCGAAAGCCUUCAUCACUCACGCGGCGUUGCUCCGUCAGACUUUCGUCCAUUGCGGAAGAUUCCCUA